rnacentral:rRNA from 1 species
AGAGUUUGAUCCUGGCUCAGAACGAACGCUGGCGGCGUGCCUAACACAUGCAAGUCGAACGUGAUUGAGGGGCUUGCUCCUCAUGAAAGUGGCGCACGGGUGAGUAACGCGUGGAUAAUCUGCCUGAUGCUCUGGGAUAACAUCUCGAAAGGGGUGCUAAUACCGGAUAAGCCCACGGGGUCUUCGGAUCUUGCGGGAAAAGAGGGGGACCUUCGGGCCUCUUGACAUCAGAUGAGUCCGCGUCCCAUUAGCUAGUUGGUGGGGUAAAGGCCUACCAAGGCGACGAUGGGUAGCUGGUCUGAGAGGAUGAUCAGCCACACUGGAACUGAGACACGGUCCAGACUCCUACGGGAGGCAGCAGUGGGGAAUUUUGCGCAAUGGGGGAAACCCUGACGCAGCAACGCCGCGUGAGUGAUGAAGGCCUUCGGGUCGUAAAGCUCUGUCAGAGGGAAAGAAAUGUGGGCAGUUAAUACCUGUUCCACUUGACGGUACCCUCAGAGGAAGCACCGGCUAACUCCGUGCCAGCAGCCGCGGUAAUACGGAGGGUGCGAGCGUUGUUCGGAAUUAUUGGGCGUAAAGCGCGUGUAGGCGGUUUGCUCAGUCUGAUGUGAAAGCCCUGGGCUCAACCUGGGAAGUGCAUUGGAUACUGGCAGACUUGAGUACGGGAGAGGGUAGUGGAAUUCCCAGUGUAGGAGUGAAAUCCGUAGAUAUUGGGAGGAACACCGGUGGCGAAGGCGGCUGCCUGGACCGAUACUGACGCUGAG